rnacentral:lncRNA from 13 species
CUCUGUUGUUCAUUCAGGGCUGUUGGGCUGCUAUGUUUUAUUCUGCUGCAACAGAGCUCAUUAAAAAACCCCCCUUUUUUUUUUCUCAAAUGCUCUGUGUUGAGGGGUUUGGGCUUUAUUUUUGGAUGUCCGAUCAGGUGUCCUGCCCAGCUAGAAGGCAGACUAGCCACUGUUUGGCUGCCGAGGCUCCGCCCUGCUGUUGUGUGAUUCGCGCUGUUCCUGCCGGCUCUGCUGUGGUCUCCGCCAUGCCCUGCGGCAGAGUCUCUUCAUUGUAGCGUGUUGCCUCAGCAAUGGCAGACUGCGUCAGCAGUGGGCGUGUAUCUCAGUAGGGACGGGUUGCCUCGGCAACGGCUGGCUGCGUCAGCAGUGGGCGUGUAUCUCAGUAGGGACGGGUUGCCUCGGCAACAGCUGGCUGCGUCAGCAGUGGGCGUGUAUCUCAGUUGGGGCGGGUUGCCUCGGCAACGGCUGGCUGCCUCAGCAGUGCGCGUGUAUCUCAGUUGGGGCAGGUUGCCUCCGUAGUGGUGGACGCCCCUCCCCCACAGAGCGUCUCAGGCCGUCUGCUUGGGAUAGUUUGAAAUCGCGGUUUUGUUCGUCCGACUGGGUAUCCCAAACGAUCUGUCCCUGCAAUCCCCUGGGCUGGGCUACUGUGCAAGUCUCAUUCAGUCUCAAGUCCAGCCCUCUCAAGUCUCAGGUUGCCGGUUCAACAAGGCACCCGGACAAGCGUGCCCUGUGGGGAUUGCUGGGUAGGGCCGGCCGCCGCCGCCCCCGCUGCCGGCUUCGCCAGGCAGACCUACUGCCUGGCGUCCCGUGUCUUUUUAUACUUGGGAGUUUCCCCGUUCUGUGGGCAACAAAGAUCAGUCUGGAAAUGCAGCACUGACUCACCGUUUGCGGAUUCAACGCGGGCUCCAAUCCUGGGUUGUUCUCACAGCGCCAUCUUGAGUCCUCUCCUCAGGACAUUUUAAAUUUUUUCAGACAGAUUAUAUUCAGAGCAGUCUUGCUUUUA